rnacentral:misc_RNA from 1 species
GGGGUUUUUUUUUUCCCC